AUGGUACCUACACGUUCCUAUGCUAUUAAGUUAGUUGUCCCUUCCUGGGGAAAAGAUAGGAUGUACAUUUGUAUGCCUUUUAACAAAUCUAUCACAGUAUCCUUAGGUACUGGGUACAUAGCUUGCUUUAAUAGCGACUUAAGUAAUUUGGCAAAGUUACGCUUCUCCGAUGACAGAGACUGACCCAUAGUUAUAACUCAGCAAAGAUAGAAAAUUACCCCCAGCUGGACACACUUACCACCAGAGUCCCUCCUCUGAGUCUCGAAAGCGUCCUGGGAGAUCCGUGUGCUGUCUCUUUUACUCCGAGUUUGUCUCACAGGCGAGUUCACCCGUGGAUCCAAUUCACAUCCACAUUGGGAGCCAAAUGUAGGGGACAGGAGAAGGGGACGUUACCAGAACCUCUACAGUGAGUCCUGGUCUCCUGUGAGCCACAGCAGCACAUGGCAAAUUACAGGAAAGGUAGAAAAAUGAGACUGAGAAGAAGCUGAGCUUUGGAUCUAAUCAGUGCUCCUCUGGAUGGCAAAGACAAAAGCCCCCAGCUUACUGCACCUUUUAUUCAGUAUUCAGUACAUGGGGAGAAACAAAUGUAACAAAUGACUUGCA
rnacentral:lncRNA from 1 species